ensembl:lncRNA
CACACACACACACACACACACACACACACAAACUAACCGUUAUCUCCAACUAACUACACCAUGACUGCCCAGUUUGGGUAUGGCGGUAUCCUCAGGCUGUUCUAUGGAUCAACUCUGUGAAGAAGACCGCCACUAUUUUUGAAGGAGUAGGGAUGUUGUUUUUGGGUUCUCUUCAAAAGGAACCAUAAAGAUACCAGAAGAAAUGUGGGUUCUCAUUAAAAUAACUUGCCGGAAGUAAGUUAGACCUGGAGAUAUCUCUGCUUUCCAACGCCCAGUGCUUCCAGUGGACAUGUUUGAGAGGAGGAAAUCCGUCAGCCAGUGAAGAUGAACCCUUACGUUACGUCUCACUUCCGGAGGGAUCUUUUCCCCCACUUCCACUUGUUGUAGUCGUUGGGUUCGGCCCUUCUGUCACUUCUUUAAGCACAUGGGUUUCCAUAUUGUUUGGCUGAGUCGUGAAUCAGGGCCCCUGACAUUCAGACCCUGACAGACUUGUUCCAAGUGUUUUGAAGGUAAAGACUUGUGACGAGCAGCACCUUUCUCCAAUGCUCGAUGCCUCAAAAUUAUUUAAUCUCUUCACCCAACGUCCUACGAUGUGUUUUUCCCUUCUCUGUCUUUUCCCUUUUUAAUGCAUCCUAGAACUUUGCAUGCCUGAUCCAUCUAUAGAGAAUGUACUUUAUGCUUAGUGUCUUUUGAAAGUUCUUCAUUCAUAACCAGAAGCUAUCGUCUCCAGCUUCAUUUCCUACAGUCUUGGUCUCAUCCCAUCUCUCGGUCUGAUCUUGUUCACGUGAGUUCAAAUGUGUGUGUUCUCCAGCCAACAAGCUAAUCAUUGUUUGGAUUAAUGCAGUAUGCUCUCUGCUAUGCUGGACUAGACCAGAUCCUGUGAAUCUGCAAGUUUCACAACCUGAUGAUCGGCGACCCUAAGACAGGAUGUCUAGGUGAUUGGUUUGCAAGCUCAGUGUUCAGCACUCAUCUAUAUCAUCCCAUAUUCUGCAAUACUUUUGCAAUGUUUUCAUCAGAACAGUCAAACAUAUCACAUCUCUUUCUCUCUUUCUUCUGAAUUGUGUGUCUUGUGUGUACUGUUUGUGUGUAAUACCCUUUUGUUCAUGUUUCUAUCUGCCCCUUGGAACUCCUUAAUCUACAGCUAUAAUGAAGGAACACUCUGAUAUCACAAAGGUAGAUAUGCUUUUGAUAAUAUGUAACUAGCAGUUUACUGAAGUAGCAGUGGAUAUGCUCAUGUCAUCCUAUCAACAGUCAGUUAAUUAGUUUGUACCAAAACAGGAUUCAAGCAGAAGGAGGUAGUGGAUACCGUACUGUUAUAGUCGUAACCUGAAGCUACACACAAGAGUAGUGGCUGAUUUGAGAUGAACGACCAAAUGUAACAUUGAUCUCACUUGUGAGAACUGUGAUAUAACAGGUGCAGCACUGUCCGCAGUAAACUAAGACCAGGACAAUAAGUGAGUGCACAUAACACAUGUUGCAUUUCUCCAUUCAAACAUUACAUUAAUUUUACUUUCCUUAGGUGAUUGAAUGAUCAAAUAUGAGCAAAGCUACAAAUGAGUUCAACAAGUAGAUUGUAUUUUUUUUCUCUUGGUUAUUGUGUUGGUCUUAAGGAUUUGGAUUUUGGACCUUGGAUCGUAAGAAUCAGC